rnacentral:lncRNA from 1 species
GAAGGUGUGCUAGCUGUGAGCGGCGAUGAUUUGAUUUUGGUAGCCGGAGGUGGGAGUAAUCAGCCAGCAGGUGGAACUCUGCUCGCUCAGUUUGUCUUUAGCAGAGGAAGAAAGAGAGCAGACGAAUGGGAGGGAGAAGGAGCUAGGGGAAAUAAGAGAGGAAAGAAAAAGAAAAAUAAAAAAUAGUAGUUGAAGAUGAUUGAAUAAAAUAUAUGGUAGGUGGUACAAAGUAUGAAGUAUAUAAGUGAGGAA